AGACCAAACUUGUAUGAGUAAUAGACUUAGGAAGAGAUCUUCCUUCAAAAAAUUAUUCCACCACUUUAAUAAUGCCAGUUCGAACAAUAUCCCAACAACUCUGAUAGAAUAGACCAGUAAACCAUUCGGUCCACUAGCACUUUCCCCAUUCAAUUCAAAAAUCACAUUCUUCACCUCUUCUUCAGUUGGUACAGCAUUGAUGAAAUUAUUCAUCUCAUCCAUAACCAAUGAUGGAAUAUGAGUCAAUAAAUAAAAAUUAUUUUGGCCCUGCUCACAUGAAAAUUGUUUUUGGAAAUAAGAGAUAGCUUCAGCAGCCACUUGUUCAUUACCUUCUUCCCAUUGACCAUUCUCUUUAAUGAUUCUACCGAUAGACAAUUUUUUUCUCCUUCCAUUCGCUAGAAUAUGAAAAAAUCUAGUAUUCAUGUCACCUUCAGAGAACCAUUGAAUCCUAGCCUUUUGCCUCCAAAAUUCCUCUUCGAAAUACAAAUAUUUCUUCAAUUCAGCUUGUGCCUUCUAAAGGAUAAUUCUAUUACUAGAGGUUGGAUUUUCUUCAAACAAUUCUUCUUUGAGUCUGACAACUUCUUCUCUUAUGAUUAAUUGUUUGAAAAUAUCACCAAAUCUCUCCCUACUCUAAGAAACAAGGGUUGGUUUGGUAUUCUUCAGUUUUUUUCUUUAAACCAAUGAAAAUAUCAGCUUCUUCUUGAGAUGUCAAACUGUUUCUCACCACCUCUUUAAAAUCUGACUGUUCCACCCAAAAUUUUAAAAAUUUGAAUUAUCUUCUGAAUUGCAUAGAUUGACCACCACAAGAUAACAACAAUGGAGCAUGGUCCGACCCUGUCCUUGCAAAAUAUUCUAUUUCCACCUGCCCUGCUAUGCUAAGAAAAAAUUGAUUCAUCACUAUUCUAUCUAAUAUUUUAAAUAUACAUUCACUGUCGCCCCUUCCAUUCCACCAUGUAAAAGGAUUCCCUUUGAAAUUUAAUCCAACAGAUCACAAGAGUUAAUACAGAAGGCAAAGUCUUCUAUUUCCCUUAAAGUGAUAGGCAACCCACCAAUCUUCUUUUCAUCUGUCAUUAUUACAGUGAAAUCACCACCAACAAUCCAAGGUGUUUCAAUGUGGUUAUUUGUGGGACUUUUAUAAUGCGCUUCUUCUUCUGGUGUAAUAUUUUGUAUGCUACUGUGGAAAGCUUUUUCAACUCUGGUGCUAAUUUUGUUUUACGAGUUCAGCUCAGAAACACCAUCAUCUUUAUCUUUCUCCUCUACUUGUUGACUCAAAGCCUCAAAAUGAUUGUUGGUACUGAUGAUACUACUUCUUUCCACUGCCUUGUCACUUAUUAGUUCUCCUUUUCCUUUUGUAAAGAAUCUAUUGGUAGGAUUCCAUUUAGUAAUCAAAGCACCCUUAUACAUUCUCCUUUGAUCUGGUUUCUCCUCCACUAUUGUACCUUACUCUUCUUUUUCAUUUUUCUUCUGCAACUCAGGAUGUAAAAUUCUGCAUUCAUCCUCAUUAUGCCUCUUUAAUUUACAUCUCUUACAAUAAUAAAGGAGGGCAUCGUACUGGAUUUUGACCUUUACUAUGUUAUUCUCCUGUUCAACUUCAUUUUCUAUCUCCGGGAGCACAUAAUCAGAUUUAUCCGCAAGCAAGUCUAGCUAUACUUUCACUCUAGCACAACUAGGACGAGUCUUAUUAAUGGUUGUUGAAUCCAGCUGUAGAGGUUUUCCAACUGCUGAUGCCAAUGAGAAAAGAACCUCUUUAACUAAGAAAGUGGGCAAGAGAUCUGGAAAAUAUAUCCAAGUAGUUGCCAGAGACGUUUCUUCCUUUGGUCUAAAAUUUGUAUCAUAUAUGAAUGGGCGCAUUUGAUAUGCAUAUCCCUCUUUGGCAACUAUGUAAUAAGCGUUUUUGAUAAAAUAUAAAUGUAAUCUUCAAUCAUC